GAUGAAGAACGUAGCGAAAUGCGAUACGUAGUGUGAAUUGCAGAAUUCAGUGAAUCAUCGAAUCUUUGAACGCACAUUGCACCUCUCGGUAUUCCGGGAGGUAUGCCUGUUCGAGCGUCAUUUGUACCCUCAAGCUCUGCUUGGUGUUGGGUGUUUGUUCCGCCUCUGAGUGUGAACUCGCCUCAAAACAAUUGGCAGCCGGCGUACUUGUUUCGGAGCGCAGCACAUUUUGCGAUCCAGAUCAACGUACAGCGGCAUCCAAGAAGCCUUAUUUAACGCUCUUGACCUCGGAUCAGGUAGGGAUACCCGCUGAACUUAAGCAUAUCAAUAAGCGGAGGA
rnacentral:misc_RNA from 1 species